rnacentral:rRNA from 1 species
UACGAAGGGGGGCUAGCGUUGCUCGGAAUGACUGGGCGUAAAGGGCGCGUAGGCGGUUCGUACAGUCAGACGUGAAAUUCCCGGGCUCAACCUGGGAAUUGCAGUGGAUACUGGCGAGCUAGAGUGCGGUAGAGGAUGGUGGAAUUCCCGGUGUAGUGGUGAAAUGCGUAGAGAUCGGGAGGAACACCCGUAGCGAAGGCGGCCGACUGGACCACACCUGACGCUGAGGCGCGAAGGCCAGGGGAGCGAACGGG